CGUCACCGUUUUUACGAACCGGCCUGGAAGCCAAAAUCGAUGAAAAAAUAUAAAAUGACUUUUUUCAGUAUUUCGACUCAAUAGUCAAAUAUCUUUUAUUUCACAAAUUUGUAGGUCUUAAAACCAUUUCGUUACGUCAUUUUUGACGUCAUGAGACGCUCUGGGUUCAUGAGAAUGGACGAAUGCCGUUUUUACGAACCGGCUUGAUACGCGCGCCGCAGCUAGCUCGCCGACUCGCAUCGUCUGUUUGCUGAAACUUCGUUUUUACGAUCUGGCCUGAGGCGUCAGCUUGUUCAAACUUGCAUCAGCUGGAAACUGUUGCUUUCAGGUAGACCAAUGGGUGUCUCAUCAAACCAUACCUUCGACAGUUAAUUCGCUGUUCAUUGUUUGGUGAUUUCCAGAGCUGUUGCCUGAUUUUAAGAGUGAACAGAUUCUUACAUCUUCAAAUGCAUCUCAGGUGUUGCGUGCCUGAUUUUAAGAGUGAACAGAUUCUUACCUCUUCAAACGCAUCUGUGGUGGACUGUUACUUUCUAUUCCAAUUGUUCAUUCUACUGGGGACGAGAUGCUCAGUGUCUGACUGUCUGGUGAAGGGCUACUACUGAAAUUCCAUAAAUUGAAGCAUUCCAGGAGUGAAAGAUGUUUCAGAGAUUUUUGGAGACUCCACUUUUGAAGAUGAAGGAAAAUCACGAUCUCUUCUGAUAAAGGUAUACAUUUCUUGUGGUUUGACUGAACUUGUUUUCCUUUGGGAUAUUGAUAGAGAGAUCUCAAGACAGUAAACAUCAGUCUUCACAAUAACUCUGAUAUUGUAUUUACUGUCAAGAGCAUGUGAUAACUACUCUUGUUGCUUCAGAGACCAAAGCUCAAAACACAAUAUAUCAGUUCUUAUUUGGACUGGUAUAUUGUAUUGUCUGUAAAGAGCACGUGAUAUGGUCUAAAAUGUUUUCAUGGCAGAGGACAGUUAGGUAGACCAAAGCUCAAAACAGAAUACAUGUAUAACAGAUUAACUGUGAAUUUCUGUCAAGGGCAAUUGGUAAAUUCUUGUUGCAUUUAGAGACCAAGAAGGACACUUUAGGUAGACCAAAGCUCAAAACAAAAUACAUAUAUAACAGAUUGCCUGUGAGAUGGUAUUUUCUGUCAAGGGCAAUUGGUAAAUUCUUUUUGCAUUUAGACACCAAGAAGGACACUUUAGGUAGACCAAAGCUCAAAACAAUACAUGUACAACAGAUUAACUGUGAGAUUGUAUUUUCUGGAAAAUUAAAACAAAAUACAUGUAUAACAGACUGUAAGAUUGUAUUUUCUGUCAAGACUGUAAGAAGUAUUUUUUUGUCCAGAGCAAGUGUACAAAUUUGUUAAAUUUAGCAAAUAUGAAAGACUCCGAUAUUUAAACAAAAGCUUAGAUC